ACAGCUUGGGAGGCCACAAACUCAAGCUGACGUAAUUUUAGUCAAACUUUAUGGCUGAUGAAACAACAUCCUACCUAAUUUCACUUCAAAAUGGAGGAGAGUUGUAACGGAUGCAUGGAGAGCUGCCACAGGAACAAUCCGUCAUUGUGUUGGAGGCGCUGGGGACUGGUACCGGACAUGCUGAGGAAAGGAUGGCUGAAAAACGUGUCUGAAGAGUGAGGGACAUAACAGACCAGGAGAGUUUUUUAACAAACAUCAAGACACAUCUCAAAUAGCCCAAUCAAAAGGUCACUAAGUUGUGGGGAAGUCUCCCUCGGGAUGCUGGGGUAACGAGAGCAUGGAAACAUUGAUAUCUACUUUCUCUUAUGAUUCCUACAGACUGCGCAAAACAACAAUCUCACAAGUUCACUGUAUGUCACACUUAACCAGAUUGAAUAAUAAAAGUAAUUAAGUCUAGGAACAUGUCAGAUCCAUUGAACCAAUGGAUGCCUGGGAAAAAUUUCAACCUGCUGGUGGGGCUAGAGGAACAUUUAGGGGAUCACCAAAGUCAGCAGGAUUCAUGUCUAGGAAUCAUGAAUGUUUGUACAGAUCAUCAUUCCCAACCCUAGACUAAUGCCGCUAAGAUGGCUAAAACAGUUGAA